CGGUUUGUAGCUCAGCUGGUAGAGCAGCUGACUCUUAAUCAGCGGGUCGAGGGUUCGAGUCCCUCCAAACCGA
rnacentral:tRNA from 1 species